rnacentral:tRNA from 1 species
CAAUUAAUAGUUUAAUAAAAAUAAUAAUUUUGGAGAUUAUAGAUAUAAUAAAAUUUUAUUUAAUUGA